rnacentral:rRNA from 1 species
CGCUGGCGGCGUGCUUAACACAUGCAAGUCGAACGGUAAGGCCCUUCGGGGUACACGAGUGGCGAACGGGUGAGUAACACGUGGGUGAUCUGCCCUGCACUUUGGGAUAAGCCUGGGAAACUGGGUCUAAUACCGAAUAGGACUCCGGACUGCAUGGUCUGGGGUGGAAAGCUUUGCGGUGUGGGAUGGGCCCGCGGCCUAUCAGCUUGUUGGUGGGGUGAUGGCCUACCAAGGCGACGACGGGUAGCCGGCCUGAGAGGGUGACCGGCCACACUGGGACUGAGAUACGGCCCAGACUCCUACGGGAGGCAGCAGUGGGGAAUAUUGCACAAUGGGCGCAAGCCUGAUGCAGCGACGCCGCGUGAGGGAUGACGGCCUUCGGGUUGUAAACCUCUUUCAGCACAGACGAAGCGCAAGUGACGGUAUGUGCAGAAGAAGGACCGGCCAACUACGUG